UACCAGCACCCCGAGUGGUCGGGACGUUUUAUUGGGCCUAAAGCAUCCGUAGCCGGUUCUACAAGUCUUCCGUUAAAUCCACCUGCUUAACAGAUGGGCUGCGGAAGAUACUAUAGAGCUAGGAGGCGGGGAGAGGCAAGCGGUACUCGAUGGGUAGGGGUAAAAAUCCGUUGAUCCAUUGAAGACCACCAGUGGCGAAGGCGGCUUGCCAGAACGCGCUCGACGGUGAGGGAUGAAAGCUGGGGGGAGCAAACCGGG
rnacentral:rRNA from 1 species